UUUGCAGCCAGAGAGAAUGAAGGUCCCAGCUAACCUGCAGAAUGUUUACAGCACAGGUGGUGGAAGUGCAAACUUCUUCACACUGCCCUGACAAUGUGCCUUAUUUCUGUUCUUAAGACACCACCCUAAGAAGUGAGAGGGGCGCUCAGUUUCCAUGUUUUUUCAUAUGUCCUGUCAAU
rnacentral:sRNA from 1 species